rnacentral:lncRNA from 1 species
GAGACACACCCAGCGGCAGCCGUUGACUCCCUCCACCCUUGCUUCCCUCUCAACCAUCUCACCUCCAUCUGUCCAGUGGAGCCAGAUGUCCCACCUUCUUGGGAGAAAUUAAUUGAGGCUCAUUUCCAGGACAGAGGGGCAAGCUGGGUCUGAGGAGCCAAGCAGAAAAACUUCCCAAAAUCACUGGGUGGGGAGGGGUCAGAGACUUACUGCUGCCCCAGCUGUUCUGACUCUGCCCCCAGCUUUUGGCCCCACCCUUUUAAAGCACCUUCAGAGGUUCCCAAUGGUGACAGUAAACAAGUCUCCACUGUCCUGGCCAUCUCUGCUGUGUUCACCCUACUCCUGAUCUUUCUGGCUGCUCAGGGACUGACAGCCAAGAUGUGAGGCUGUGAUGAGCAGGAACAGGGAGGCCUGGAGCCCCCAGCCAUUGUCAUCACUUCCCUGAUCUGCCUAAAUUCUGCCCAGCAGUCCGUGAAAAUGGUUUGCUGAUGACAUAUGUAAGGACUUUAACUCCCCUCAAGCAAUCUGCUCAUCUCAAAGGAUUUGCAAUGAUCAAGAGGCGUCCUGUGAAUGCAGUUUGCAAAGGACUUAGGCACACAGCAUCUCCUUUGUUCUCACCACAAGGCUGCCGGGUGUGCAGAUGUGAGGAUUAUUUCAAUGGUGAAGAAGCAUCCUGAGAGGUUACGUAGUUCAACUAAUGUCACACCAAGAGCAGGAGAGCAUCUGGGCAUUUGGACAUGGAAGGUGUGGGGCACAAGCAUCUCAUGGCCAGGGAACGGGGGAGGAGCAUCUCAGAGCUGCAUCAGAGUUCAUGCUGGUCCUAGGACAAGAGUCAAGCACACCCUGCUUUCACCAGCUGCUGGUAGCUUUCACUCAGGUUCCCACUUUGGCCACUUAAUUCUCUGAACCUCUACUACAUGAAGAGACUAGAACUUGAUUAGAAAAAAAUGGAAUGACUCUUAAUGAGCAAGUGGAUGAAUAAAUUGUGGUAAAUCCCUACAA